AAUGAGUUAUGUACAAGUCUUCUAAAUUUGUUUAAGGAUUUUCCUGCUCGUUU
rnacentral:tRNA from 1 species